rnacentral:rRNA from 1 species
UGGGGAAUAUUGCACAAUGGGCGCAAGCCUGAUGCAGCCAUGCCGCGUGUAUGAAGAAGGCCUUCGGGUUGUAAAGUACUUUCAGCGGGGAGGAAGGGAGUAAAGUUAAUACCUUUGCUCAUUGACGUUACCCGCAGAAGAAGCACCGGCUAACUCCGUGCCAGCAGCCGCGGUAAUACGGAGGGUGCAAGCGUUAAUCGGAAUUACUGGGCGUAAAGCGCACGCAGGCGGUUUGUUAAGUCAGAUGUGAAAUCCCCGGGCUCAACCUGGGAACUGCAUCUGAUACUGGCAAGCUUGAGUCUCGUAGAGUGGGGUAGAAUUCCAGGUGUAGCUGUGAAAUGCGUAGAGAUCUGGAGGAAUACCGGUGGCGAAGGCGGCCCCCUGGACAAAGACUGACGCUCAGGUGCGAAAGCGUGGGGCGCAAACAGG